rnacentral:rRNA from 1 species
AUGGGCGGAAGCCUGAUGCAGCAACGCCGCGUGCGGGAUGACGGCCUUCGGGUUGUAAACCGCUUUCGCCUGUGACGAAGCGUGAGUGACGGUAAUGGGUAAAGAAGCACCGGCUAACUACGUGCCAGCAGCCGCGGUGAUACGUAGGGUGCGAGCGUUGUCCGGAUUUAUUGGGCGUAAAGGGCUCGUAGGUGGUUGAUCGCGUCGGAAGUGUAAUCUUGGGGCUUAACCCUGAGCGUGCUU